AGUCGAACGGCAACACGGACUUCGGUCUGGUGGCGAGUGGCGAACGGGUGAGUAAUGUAUCGGAACGUGCCUAGUAGCGGGGGAUAACUACGCGGCGUAGCUAAUGCCACAUACGCCCUUCGGGGAAAAGCGGGGGACCUUCGGGCCUCGCACUAUUAGAGCGGCCGAUAUCGGAUUAGCUAGUUGGUGGGGUAACGGCUCCGCAAGGCGACGAUCCGUAGCUGGUUUGAGAGGACGACCAGCCACACUGGGACAGGACACGGCCCAGACUCCUGCAGGAGGCAACGUUGGAAUUUGGACAAUGGGGGAAACCCUGAUCCAGCCAUCCCGCGUGUGCGAUGAAGGCCUUCGGGUUGUAAAGCACUUUUGGCAGGAAAACGGCACGGGAUAAUACCCCGUGCAACUGACAAACACCUGCAGAAUAAGCACCGGAAAAGCUAUACGUGCCAGCAGCCGCGGUGACCGUAGGGUGCAGCGUUAAUCGGAAUUACUGGGCGUAAAGCGUGCGCAGGCGGUUCGGAAGAAGAUGUGAAAUCCCAGAGCCUUUGAACUGCAUUUUUAACUACCGAGCUAGAGUGUGUCAGAGGGAGGUGGAAUUCCCGCCGUGUAACUUGGUGAAAUGCGUAGAUAACAGGAAGGACUUACCGAUGGCGAAGGCAGCCUCCUGGGAUAACACCGACGCUCAUGCACGAAAGCGUGGGGAGCAAACAGGAUUAGAUACCCUGGUAGUCCACGCCUAAACGAUGUCAACUAGCUGUUGGGGCCUUCGGGCCUUGGUAGCGCAGCUAACGCGUGAGAUUGACCGCCUGGGGAGAUACGGUCGCAAGAUUAAAACUCAAAGGAAUUGACGGGGACCCGCACAAGCGGUGGAUGAUGUGGAUUAAUUCGAUGCAACGCGAAAAACCUUACCUGCCGCUUGACAUGUCUGGAAUCCCGAAGAGAUUUGGGAGUGGCUCGCAAGAGAACGGAACACAGGUGCUGCAUGGCUGUCGUCAGCUCGUGUGUUGAGAUGUUGGGUUAAGUCCCGCAACGAGCACCCUUGUCAUUAGUUGCUACGAAAGGGCACUCUAAUGAGACUGCCGGUGACAAACCGGAGGAAGGUGCAGGGAUGACGUCCAGUCCUCACCAGCCCUUGCGCGGGUAGGAGCUUCACACACGUCAUACAAUGGUCGGGACAGGGUCGCCAACCCGCGAGGGGGAGCCAAUCCCAGAAACCCGAUCGUAGUCCGGAUCGCCGGUCUGCAACUCGACUGCGUGAAGUCGAAUCGCUGGUAAUCGCGGAUCAGCAUGUCGCGGUGAAUACGUUCCAGGUCUUUAUACCACACCGCCCGUCACACCAUGGGAGUGGGUUUUACCAGAAGUAGUUAGCCUAACCGUAAGGAGGGCGAUUACCACGGUAAGUUCAUGACUGGGGUGAAGUCGUAACAAAGGCAA
rnacentral:rRNA from 1 species